GACUCCAGGGAAGCGAUUUGGGAACUUCUGGGUCUACUGGGAGAGUAAAGGAUCUUCAGAGCAAGACAGAAGAGCCCAGAAAGGAGCAGAUCGCAGAUUUGCAAGGUCAGAAGCAGUUCUUUUUCUCCCUGCCCAGAAUGAGCCUGACUUAGUGAUGACGCCACCUUCAGAAGCUACCACACAGUGAGGGGUUUGGAACAUCCUUGAGAAGAGCAAGAUUGAUUAGAAAUGUGCUGUUGCUGGCAUCAGUGUCAUUCAAGGACAUGACUGGAGUUCGCCAGGAGGAGGGGCGGCAGGUGGACUCUGCGCAGAGAGGUGAUGAUGCUGGAGAGCUACAGCCACCUCGUCUCCGUGGCAGUGUCUGAGAGUUCUCAUUGCUCUUUGGUUACCAACAUUUGGUGUGAUACUUUUCCUCCUGUGUCCUCCUUCAAAAUGAGUACCUCCCGUUUGCAUGGAUGCCAGAGCUAAAGACUCAAGCAACAUCUUUGAGUCUUCCCUCUCCCUUGGUACCCAGUCUCUCAUCCCACCACCAACCAGUCAGUCAGUGCUGGUUAUUACAGUUCCUAAACAGCUCUCAAAUACUUCUACUUUUCUUCAUCCUUUCUGAACCACCAGAGUCCAAGUAACCAACUGAAUAACUGGAUGACCUUAAUAACCUCCUGCCUCUGAGCCUCAAUUUCCUGGUUUGUAAAAUGAGACAGUCAGAAUGAACACCAAGUUUAUUCCUUCUCUGUAUCCUGUGAUUAUAAGAAUUUAAAACCGAGAGGCUCAGGGCAAAAUCAAUUCCAGUGCUUCGGGAGACCAUCUCACUUUCUCCGUUAAAUUAAACUUUGCGGUGACCCAGAUUGUGCCUCAUAUCCUCCCAUAGCACUGCUCUCAAGGACAAUCUCAGGGUCUUCAAGACAACUUAUAAUGAGGCCUUUUCUCUUAAAUAGGGAUCUGCCUUAUGCCACGUUUUAAGCUGUAGAAAAUACUUUAGAAUUAGAUUCUAAUAUCAGCAACAAAUUUAUUUACCUGGUUUUGUUAAUUUAUCUGAAAGCUCCUAUUCUUGAAAAUGUCCCAUGUGAGGGAAAAAAAAGUCCCGUGUAAAGAUUUAGUCCAUCUUUGUUAACUACUUCUUGACUGUUUAUUAAAAAAACCUGGAUAGGUGAUUGCAGGGAGGGGCAGUGAUGAAGGAGUUUGAUUGAUUUUUUGUUUUUUUGGUUUUUUUU